rnacentral:rRNA from 1 species
UACGUAGGGUGCAAAGCGUUAAUCGGAAUUACUGGGCGUAAAGCGUGCGCAGGCGGUUGUGCAAGACAGAUGUGAAAAUCCCCGGGCUCAACCUGGGAAUUGCAUUUGUGACUGCACGGCUAGAGUGUGUCAGAGGGGGGUAGAAUUCCACGUGUAGCAGUGAAAUGCGUAGAGAUGUGGAGGAAUACCGAUGGCGAAGGCAGCCCCCUGGGAUAACACUGACGCCUCAGGCACGAAAGCGUGGGGGAGCAAACAGG